rnacentral:rRNA from 1 species
AUUGAACGCUGGCGGCAGGCCUAACACAUGCAAGUCGAGCGAGCGGCGGACGGGUGAGUAAUAUCUGUGAAACUGCCUGAUGUAGGGGGAUAACGCCUGGAAACGGUAGCUAAUACCGCAUACCCUCUGAUGUGCCCAGAUGGGAUUAGCUAGUUGGUGGGGUAACGGCUCACCGAGGCGCCGAUCCCUAUCUGGUCUGAGAGGAUGACCAGCCACACUGGAACUGAGACACGGUCCAGACUCCUACGGGAGGCAGCAGUGGGGAAUAUUGCACAAUGGGCGCAAGCCUGAUACAGCCAUGCCGCGUGUGUGAAGAAGGCCUUCGGGUUGUAAAGUACUUUCAGCGGGGAGGCGUUACCCGCAGAAGAAGCACCGGCUAACUCCGUGCCAGCAGCCGCGGUAAUAC